rnacentral:rRNA from 1 species
GCAAGCGUUGUCCGGAUUUAUUGGGCGUAAAGCGCGUGUAGGCGGCCAGAUAGGUCUGCUGUGAAAACUCGAGGCUCAACCUCGAGCUGUCGGCGGAAACCAUCUGGCUAGAGUCCGGAAGAGGAGAGUGGAAUUCCUGGUGUAGCGGUGAAAUGCGCAGAUAUCAGGAAGAACACCUAUGGCGAAGGCAGCUCUCUGGGACGGUACUGACGCUGAGACGCGAAAGCGUGGGGAGCGAACAGG